AACCUGCGGAAGAUCAUUACCUAGAGUUGCGGGCUUUGCCUGCCAUCUCUUACCCAUGUCUUUUGAGUACCUUCGUUUCCUCGGCGGGUCCGCCCGCCGAUUGGACAAAACUUAAACCCUUUGUAAUUGAAAUCAGCGUCUGAAAAAACUUAAUAGUUACAACUUUCAACAACGGAUCUCUUGGUUCUGGCAUCGAUGAAGAACGCGAUGCGAUAAGUAGUGUGAAUUGCAGAAUUCAGUGAAUCAUCGAAUCUUUGAACGCACAUUGCGCCCCUUGGUAUUCCAUGGGGCAUGCCUGUUCGAGCGUCAUUUGUACCUUCAAGCUUUGCUUGGUGUUGGGUGUUUGUCUCGCCUCUGCGCGCAGACUCGCCUCAAAACGAUUGGCAGCCGGCGUAUUGAUUUCGGAGCGCAGUACAUCUCGCGCUUUGUAGUCUCAACGACGACGUCCAAAAAGUACUUUUUUCACUCUUGACCUCGGAUCAGGUAGGGAUACCCGCUGAACUUAAGCAUAUCAAUAA
rnacentral:rRNA from 5 species